UACGGAGGGUGCGAGCGUUAAUCGGAAUUACUGGGCGUAAAGCGCGCGUAGGCGGCUAAGUAAGCCGGUUGUGAAAGCCCGGGGCUCAACCUGGGAAUAGCCUCCGGAACUGUUUAGCUAGAGGGCAGAAGAGGAAGGUAGAAUUCCCGGUGUAGCGGUGAAAUGCGUAGAGAUCGGGAGGAAUACCAGUGGCGAAGGCGGCCUCCUGGUCUGACACUGACGCUGAGGUGCGAAAGCGGGGGUAGCAAACAGG
rnacentral:misc_RNA from 1 species